AGUGCUUGCUUCUGCACUAUAUGGACUAUAAUUAGAAAGAUACAGAGAAGAGUAGUAAUGGCUUCUGCACAGCAAUGAUGCACAAAUCCAUAAAGCAUUCCAAAGUUUU